CCCGCGCGGCGCCGGGCCGACGAGACUCAGCCAAUCGGCGUGCGGGGGCGUGGUCGCCACGCGUGAAUGGGACGGGGCGGGUCCAGGAUCCGACUCCGGCGGACGUCCUGGGCCCUCGCAGCGGAUUUCAGGUCCCUGUUCCGGCUUCACAAUGCAGGCGGGUGGGUUUAACUGAGGCCCCCCGAACUCCUCGGUAUUUGACUUCGGCUCCCUGUGGAGGAAGCCCCGGGCGUUUUACUGAACAGGCGGAGGGAAGGACUCUUUCAGUUCAUUCAAGCCGCUGGACGGUCCAGCCCAGCAUCUUGACUAUGGUGAUACGUCGCCAUUGGUCCAACCCUCGCUUUUAGCCUAGUCUUCGCUCAUUGGUCUAGACUUCGCCCCCUGCUUACGGACGUGGACCUUCAGAAAGGCACCCUCCGGGCCUGGGCCUUGAAGAUCCCUCAGUUCACCCUCCUUUUGGCUUCUAUCAGAGUCUUCCUGUGCUUUCUCGGGGUAGCGUCAUUUCCUGGGCAUUCUGCAGUGCACUCAAAGGCUUUUAGUCGUCAUUAUCUGUCAAUCAAUCACAGACUACUGUUUGUAUCUAAUUUAUUAGAUUAUAAGUACCCUUGCACUUAAAUCUCU
rnacentral:lncRNA from 1 species